UACGUAGGGGGCAAGCGUUGUCCGGAAUCAUUGGGCGUAAAGCGCGUGUAGGCGGCCAGAAAAGUCCGCUGUGAAAACUCGAGGCUUAACCUCGAGAUGUCGGCGGAAACCAUCUGGCUAGAGUCCGGAAGAGGAGAGUGGAAUUCCUGGUGUAGCGGUGAAAUGCGCAGAUAUCAGGAAGAACACCCGUGGCGAAGGCGGCUCUCUGGGACGGUACUGACGCUGAGACGCGAAAGCGUGGGGAGCGAACAGG
rnacentral:rRNA from 1 species